rfam:Solanum lycopersicum cultivar Heinz 1706 chromosome 3, whole genome shotgun sequence.
GUAAGAAAUAACAGUGCAAUUCUCCUUUGGCAAAUGAAUAUGCAAACCCUAUAUAUAUAUAUAUAUAUAUAUGUUUUGCAUACACAUUAUAUUAUCUUUGCCAAAGGAGAAUUGCCCUGUCAUUCUUCU